rnacentral:rRNA from 1 species
CCUACGGGGGGCUGCAGUGGGGAAUCUUGGACAAUGGGGGCAACCCUGAUCCAGCAAUGCCGCGUGUGGGAAGAAGGCCUUCGGGUUGUAAACCACUUUUGGCAGGGAAGAAAUGUCGAGUAUUAAUACCAUUCGGCGAUGACGGUACCUGCAGAAUAAGCACCGGCUAACUACGUGCCAGCAGCCGCGGUAAUACGUAGGGUGCUAGCGGUAAUCGGAACGACUGGGCGCGAUUCGUGCGCACGGGGUUGAAAUUCCCGGGCUCAACCUGGGAACUGCAUUUGUGACUGUUCGACUAGAGUGCGGCAGAGGGGAGUGGAAUUCCGCGUGUAGCAGUGAAAUGCGUAGAUAUGCGGAGGAACACCGAUGGCGAAGGCAACUCCCUGGGCCUGCACUGACGCUCAUGCACGAAAGCGUGGGGAGCAAACAGGAUUAGAUACCCCAGUAGUC